GUGUCAGCAGCCGCGGUAAUACGUAAGGAGCGAGCGUUGUCCGGAUUUACUGGGCGUAAAGGGCUCGUAGGUGGUUUCUUAGGUCUCACGUGAAAUUCCCUGGCUCAACCAGGGAGGGUCGUGGGAAACCGAGAGGCUAGAGGACGGUAGAGGGGAGUGGAAUUCCCGGUGUAGCGGUAAAAUGCGUAGAUAUCGGGAGGAACACCGGUGGCGAAGGCGGCUCUCUGGGCCGAUCCUGACGCUGAGGCGCGAAAGCUAGGGGAGCAAACCGGAUUAGAUACCCGGGUAGUCCUGGCCGUAAACGAUGGGUACUAGGUGUGGGGGGUUCGACCCCCUCCGUGCCGCAGUUAACGCAUUAAGUACCCCGCCUGGGGAGUACGGCCGCAAGGUUGAAACUUAAAGGAAUUGACGG
rnacentral:rRNA from 1 species